UACGAAGGGUGCGAGCGUUGUUCGGAAUUACUGGGCGUAAAGGGCGCGCAGGCGGCUCUGCAAGUCAGAUGUGAAAGCCCCGGGCUUAACCUGGGAACUGCAUUUGAUACUCUAGAGCUUGAGUACGGGAGAGGAGAGUGGAAUUCCCAGUGUAGAGGUGAAAUUCGUAGAUAUUGGGAAGAACACCGGUGGCGAAGGCGGCUCUCUGGACCGUAACUGACGCUGAGGCGCGAAAGCGUGGGGAGCAAACAGG
rnacentral:rRNA from 1 species